GAUGAACGCUGACAGAAUGCUUAACACAUGCAAGUCAACUGUGGCGGACGGGUGAGUAACGCGUAAAGAACUUGCCUCACAGAUAGGGACAACAUUUGGAAACGAAUGCUAAUACCUGAUACUGUGAGAGAGCUUUGCUUCCCAUUAGCUAGUUGGAGAGUUCACGGCUCACCAAGGCGAUGAUGGGUCGCCGGCCUGAGAUGGUGAUCGGCCACAAGGGGACUGAGACACGGCCCUUACUCCUAAGGGAGGCAGCAGUGGGGAAUAUUUGACAAUGGACCAAAGUCUGAUCCAGUAAUUCUGUGUGCACGAUGAAGUUUUCGGAAUGUAAAGUGCUUUCAGUUGGGAAGCGGUACCAAGAGAAGAAGUGACGGCUAAAUACGUGCCAGCAGCCGCGGUAAUAG
rnacentral:rRNA from 1 species